rnacentral:rRNA from 1 species
GGUUUCUACGGGACGCAGCAGUGAGGAAUAUUGGUCAAUGGGCGUGAGCCUGAACCAGCCAAGUCGCGUGAGGGAGGACGGCCCUACGGGUUGUAAACCUCUUUUGCCGGGGAGCAACGGGCGCCACGUGUGGCGCCACUGAGAGUACCCGGAGAAAAAGCAUCGACUAACUCCGUGCCAGCAGCCGCGGUAAUACGGAGGAUGCGAGCGUUAUCCGGAUUUAUUGGGUUUAAAGGGUGCGUAGGCGGAUCGUUAAGUCAGUGGUCAAAUUGAGGGGCUCAACCCCUUCCCGCCAUUGAAACUGG